UACGUAGGGAGCAAGCGUUGUCCGGAUUUAUUGGGCGUAAAGAGCUCGUAGGUGGCUUGGCAAGUCAGGUGUGAAAACCUCAGCUCAACCUGGAGACGCCAUUUGAUACUGCCAUGGCUUGGAGUUCGGUAGGGGACCACGGAAUUCCUGGUGUAGCGGUGAAAUGCGCAGAUAUCAGGAGGAACACCGAUGGCGAAGGCAGUGGUCUGGGCCGAUACUGACGCUGAGGAGCGAAAGCGUGGGGAGCGAACAGG
rnacentral:rRNA from 1 species